GGGCGGAUGGCGAAAUUGGCAGACGCGCACGAUUCAGAGUCGUGUGGGGCAACUCGUGGGGGUUCAACUCCCCCUCCGCCCA
rnacentral:tRNA from 3 species